GCCCGCUCCCCGGCCAUGGCGCAGACGGAGCCCCCGAAGGCGGCGCGGCUGUGGCGCGACGCCGCCCUGCGCGCUCGGAAGCUGCGGGGCGGCCCCGGCGAGCCCGAGCCGGAGCCGGACGAGGGGCCUCCGGGGGGGCCGCCGCAGCCGCCGCCCGCGGCCCGCCGCCCGCCGCUGGGAGAGCUGGAGGCGCUGAACCUGAGCGGGCGGGGGCUGGAGGAGCUGCCCGAGGAGGUGGGCGCCGCCCUGAGCGGGCUGCGGGUGCUCAGCCUGCGGCGCAACCGGCUGUGCCGCCUGCCCGCCGCCGCCCUGCGGCACCUGGGCCGCCUGGCAGAACUGGACCUCAGCCACAACCGACUGCGGGGCCUGGGCGACGGCAGGGCGCUGGCGGGGCUGCGGGGCCUGCGCAAGCUGAGCCUCAGCCACAACGAGCUGGGCGCUGAAAGCCCCGGCCUGCCACCCCGCCUGGCCGAGCUGGCCCGCCUCGAGGAGCUCGACCUCAGCUUCAACCGCCUGCGCCGCCUGCCCGAGGGCUUGGGCUGCCUGCGGCACCUCCGUGCCCUCGACAUCGAUCACAACCUGCUGCCCUGCUUCCCUGCCCCGCUGCUGGAGCUUGCCGCCCUGGAGGAGCUCGACUGCUCUGGCAACCGGCACCUGGGGGCCCUGCCCGAGGGCAUUGCUGCCCUGCGCCGCCUCAAGAUCCUCUGGCUGAGUGGCACAGGCCUGGCCGCCCUGCCCGAGGGCCUCUGCCAGCUGGGCGCCCUGGAGAGCCUCAUGCUAGAUGGCAACCAGCUACGGACUCUGCCCGCUGGCUUCAGCAGCCUGCAGCGGCUCAAGAUGCUGAACCUCUCCUCCAAUCUGCUGGGUGAGUUCCCCGCCGCCAUCCUGGCGCUGCCGGGGCUGGAGGAGCUCUACCUGAGCCGCAACCAGCUUGCUGUGCUGCCUCCUCGUCUCUGCCAGCUCCGCCAGUUGCGCACCCUCUGGCUGGACAACAACCGCAUCCGCUACCUGCCUGACUCUAUCGUGCUCCUGCACAGCCUGGAAGAGUUGGUCCUGCAAGGCAACCAGAUCGCCAUCCUGCCCGAGGGCUUCGGGCAGCUCUCCCGCGUCACCCUGUGGAAGAUCAAAGACAACCCCCUCAUCCAGCCCCCCUAUGAGGUCUGCAUGAAAGGCAUUCCCUACAUCGCAGCCUACCAGCAGGAGCUGGCCCACUCCCAACCUGCCCUCAAACCCCGCCUCAAGCUGGUCCUCAUGGGGCUGAAGGACGCUGGCAAGACCCUGCUGAGACGAUGCCUGAUGGAGGAGGAUGGGCAGAAAGAGGAUGCAGGAAGCCUGGAGGCAGGGAGCACUCAGCCCCAAGGAUGCCCUGGACAGCAGCAGGACAGUGGGAGAGCAGUGGGGUGCUGCCCCAUCCCUGAGGAUGCUUCCGAGCGGCGGGACGUACCUUCUCACGUGCCAUCCCACCAAGGGAAAGGGGAAAGGCCGUGUCCUGCACCCUCACUGCCUCCAGAUGCCUCCCAGGUUUUGUCAGGACUGCGGCUGUCGGGCAGCAAGGGCAUUGAGGUGAUGGACUGGACUGCAGAUGCAGAGAGGGGCCUGACAUUCAUUGUGUAUGAGCUGGCAGGGGACCCGAGCUAUGAUGUGAUCCAGUCCUUCUUCCUUUCUCCUGGAGCUCUCUAUGUGCUGGUGGUGAAUCUGAGUGCCUACGUCCCUCAGCACUUCUACCCCUCUGUGGGCUAUUUCUUGCACUGGCUGGGUUCCAAGGUGCCCCACGCUGUGGUGUGCAUGGUGGGAACCCAUGCUGACCUCUGCGCUGAGCGGGAGUUGGAAGAGAAGUGCCUGGACAUUCAUCAGCAGAUUGCCCAGCAGGAAAAGAGGGAUGCUGAGGGCCUCCAGAGCCUUGUCCAGCAGGUAGACGAGGCUCUGGGACAGGACUUUGACCUGCGCUGCUCCAGCCCUCACACUGCCUUUUACGGGGUCUCGGACAAGAACUUGAGACGAAAAAAAGCCCAGUUUCAGUAUCUUCUCAACCACCGGCCUCAGAUCCUCUCUCCUGUGCUGCCUUUCAGCUGCUGGGACCACUGCCAGGUACGUCGCCUGCGGGACAAGCUCCUCUCGGUGGCUGAGCACCGCGAUAUCUUCCCAAACCUGCACCGGGUGUUGCCCAAAUCCUGGCAAGUGCUGGAGGAGCUGCACUUCCAGCCACAGGCUCAGCAGCUGUGGCUGAGUUGGUGGGACUCUGCCCGGCUGGGCUUGCAGGCAGGCCUAACGGAGGACCGGCUCCAGAGCGCCCUGUCCUACCUGCACGAGAGCGGGAAGCUGCUCUACUUUGAGGAGCACCUCACACUGCGGGAGUACGUGUUCCACAAUCUGCCGCGGCUCAUCGACAUCCUCAAUGUUUUCUGCCAGCGGGAUGCCACUGUGCUGCUCCAGAAACUGCUCAGUGACACCCACGUUGAUGAGCUGAGGGCCACUCAGCUCCAUCAUUACGUGGAGGGCUUCUUGCUGCAUGGCCUCCUCCCUGCCCAUGUUAUCCGCCUCCUCCUCAAGCCCCAUAUCCAGAGCCGGGAGGACCUGCAGCUCAUCCUGGAGCUGCUGGAGAAGAUGGGGCUCUGUUACUGUGUCAACAAACCCAAAUCCAAGCCUCUAAAUGGGGCAGCUGCUUGGUACAAGUUUCCCUGCUACGUGAAGAAUGAGGUGCCCCAUGCGGAGGCGUGGAUCAAUGGUGCCAAUCUGAGUGGCCAGUCGUUUGUUGUCGAGCAGCUGCAGAUUGAGUACAGCUUUCCCUUCAUUUUCCCACCCGGCUUGUUUGCGCGCUACAGCGUCCAGAUCAACAGCCAUGUGGUUCAGCGCUCGGACGGCAAAUACCAGAUCUAUGCCUACCGGGGAAAGGUGCCGGUGGUGGUGAGCUACCGGCCUGCCCGGGGAGCCCUGCAGCCAGACACACUGUCUAUUGCUAGCCACGCGUCCCUACCAAAUAUCUGGACAGCUUGGCAAGCUAUUACUCCCUUAGUGGAAGAACUGAAUGUCCUGCUCCAGGAAUGGCCGGGCCUGUACUACACUGUGCAUGUCCUCUGUUCAAAGUGCCUUAAAAGAGGGUCACCCAACCCACACAGUUUUCCAGGAGAACUGCUGAGUCAGCCAAGACCAGAGGGACUGACGGAGAUCAUCUGUCCCAAGAACGGCAGCGAGCGAGUUAAUGUUGCCUUGGUUUACCCCCCCACUCCUACUGUGAUCAGCCCUUGUUCCAAGUGAGCCCUGAAAGCAGCUCCCACUCCUCUCAGUACACACCAGAAAGCCUAUGUGAAAUAUGUCCUCACUAAGCAUUUUUGGAAGAUAAAUCAUCGGUACUGGUGCCAAAGGUUUUCCACCAGGAGGAAUGUGGCUGAUGCUCUACAGUGCUCCCAUCUCCAGUUGUGGAGUUGCAUGCUGACAGGGAUCGGUGGUAAUUUGGGACUCUGAGAUGCCACAGGGCAGGAGCAGUUCGCAGGUGGAGGCUUCGUGGCUGGAGUGGACACGGUCACCUGCAAGCUGGGGAUGACAACGAGACAUGAAGCAAAGUAAUUGCUGCAGAUGGCAGGGCUGCUGGCCAGAAGAAAAGCACUGGAGAUAGGAUUCUGUGGACCCAUUGAUUGCGUGCUGAAACUCAUUGGGAUCUCAUGAUGAAUGUAAAAAUGUUCUUGGUACCAUUUAAUUCAGACCUGCUUGGAGGAAAGUCUCUUGAAAUGAGCUGUAGCAGAAUUCCCUGGAUUUGUUCCUGGACAAGAAGAAAAUGGUGAUUUAUUGCUGAGCUGUUGCGUGGAAUCCACGUUGCAAAGAUAUCACCAACUGGAAUCCUUCUCCAAACAGGAGGUCCGCUUCCCAGUGCACCCAGCUCGUAUGGGACUCAGGAGUACUAAAGGAGCAAGAGGACAGAGCAGACACCUUACAGCCUGCUCUAUGGGACUGCAGCCCUGCUGCCACCUCAUCAGGAGCUCAGCAUUACCUGGCCUUUGCAGGCACCCAGCCUGUUCCAUGUACUGAAGCCAUAAUGCUGGGAGUAUGGCAGUGUGGAGAUCAGUCAAGUUAUUUAAUAUGAAAUUGGGAUCACUCAUCCGCCCACGGUUUAGUAACUGGUGUAACUGUUUUCAUCUAUUUUUUUUUUUAUAUGCAAAAGCCAUUUAAUUUUCUAUGCAGCUCAGAAAUGUCUCCCCUUUGCAACUGCCAAGUGAGAGAUCUGUGCAGGAGAACCGCACCAAGUGGCUGCUAGCCCUUUCGGUUUUGCUGCUGCUCUCUUUUAAGGAUGUGUCCUGGAAUCCUCUGCACACAGCAUCCCUUUGCUAAGCUCCUGUCUCUUAGACUCCACGCAACAUCAGAGCCCCAGGGAUGAGUGCCCUGUAUGUUUGAAGGAAUUGUCAUUUUUCUUGAGUCAAGCCUUAAGGAAAGAGGGCUUAAAGAUGCUGCUCUAAGAACAGACAUAUCCAGCUCAGCGCAUGCAAUCCUGUGCUCUUGUCCUUGCUCUGAGAGUGAUUGAACUGUUAGAAAUGGCCAAGGCCUCUGCAGAGCACCUUGCAGACUUUACGGAAAGUGUACAAUGAAGGAAGAGGGCAGAUAGGACUGGGGUGUCUCCCUGUGGAAGACGGUGACUGUAACCCCUUUGGAAGAGGAGAGGAAUCUCCUGAUACUUAAUCCUCACUUCACUCUAGAGGACCAUGCACUGGUUUUGCUCACUGGUUUGCAGACCUCUUGCUUGCUGACCAGUUGAUUUCGUGAUGAAACUGGUGCACAUGGGUUUGGAAGCAGAGCUGUAGGGCUUUCAGCACCUGGAGCUUAUCCUGGAGUAUCUUAUGUUACACUUGGAAGCAAAAUGUGGGAUUCAAACAUGCAUCCGUCCAAAUGAAACUUCCACAAUAGCAACUUUGCCUUCUGCUGAGUCUGUGUAACACUGAAGAAACUGCAUGUCCCAAAGCAGCAUCCAAAUAUGUUGAGGUAGAGCCCAAAGGGUGAUGCUGUAUGUCGAGCUCAUCUUAGGGCUUGUAGGAGUACCUGGAGGCCUCUGACAACUGCAGAGGAUCCUAGGGGGUGGGUCACUCUGUUUUAACUCUGUUAAAAGCAAAAAGGUCAUAGAAUUAAGAUGGGUAGCUCCUGUUACACUGCCAAGAUGGAUUUGACUAGUCCCCUUUCUGCAUUCUGUCUCUGCUCUGAGUUUGGGGGAUUCUACUUUAAAACAGAACAGGAAAAGACACCAGAUUGGGGGUUAGCCUGCCUUGUGGCCUCUGAAAUCAAAGGGAUGAGACUGGGGGCUGUGGAAGUACACAGGCCUAGCAGCAUCCUCAGGUGUGCUCUGCUGUGCUGUAGAACUAGAGCUUACGGGGGUCCCUAUCCUGUUCCAUUUAUCCUUUGUUCUCUGACCUGGUUAAAGCUUGUCAGAGCAGCAGGAAUCCCUUGCUGUGAACAGCAGAUGUGGCUUUGUUAAAGAGAACUGCAGAUGUUAUUUAGGAAUUCACUAAGUGAUGUGGAAACCCUUCAGCUCACUCCUACAGAGACAGAUGCUGGAGCUCAGCUCCACCCUUUGGUUGGGAUCUUGGGCUGGCAUCCUUGGAAGGGCAGUGUGGGGAGAUGAAGAUGCUGCACCGCAGUAAGCACAAGAAGAGUCAAGGCCUCAGUGUAGCACUCAACACGCGCUUCGUGGCUCAGUUAAUGAACUGUAAUUGCAGGUAUUCAUAUAAUCUACGUACCUGGGCAGGACUUUGCGCACACACACAUGCAUGCCCAGACGUACAUGCACCGCACCCACACAUCCUUGCCAAAACGAAAAAAUAAAAGUGAUCUAAAUCUCAAGAACAA